rnacentral:rRNA from 1 species
AUUGAACGCUGGCGGAAUGCUUUACACAUGCAAGUCGAACGGCAGCACGGGGCAACCUGGUGGCGAGUGGCGAACGGGUGAGUAAUACAUCGGAACGUGCCCAAUCGGUGGGGGAUAACGUAGCGAAAGUUACGCUAAUACCGCAUAUUCUGUGAGCAGGAAAGCAGGGGAUCGCAAGACCUUGCGCUGAUUGAGCGGCCGAUAUCAGAUUAGCUAGUUGGUGAGGUAAAGGCUCACCAAGGCGACGAUCUGUAGCGGGUCUGAGAGGAUGAUCCGCCACACUGGAACUGAGACACGGUCCAGACUCCUACGGGAGGCAGCAGUGGGGAAUUUUGGACAAUGGGGGCAACCCUGAUCCAGCCAUGCCGCGUGAGUGAAGAAGGCCUUCGGGUUGUAAAGCUCUUUCGGCCGGGAAGAAAUCGUAUGGGUUAAUACCCUGUGCGGAUGACGGUACCGGCAUAAGAAGCACCGGCUAACUACGUG